rnacentral:lncRNA from 1 species
GGUUUUAUCAACACCAUCCAAACAAUGAAUUCCCAACCUGGUGCCCUUGGACACCUCAUAAUGCCCCAAGAUAUCAAGAACCUCCCCAGAUGCAGGAACAAUGGAUAUAACAUUGGGUGUGUAGAUGGAAGAUCCGGGUCCUUGUGCUGACUUUGCUGUACGGCAGCUAUGUGACCUGGUUGCUUGAUUACUUACAUUUUGUUUUGUCAAUGUGGAGGUACUACUCAUCUUCCUGGCCUAAGAAGGUGACCCUGAGGUGCUGUCUCUUGUGUACACGAGUUGAGUCUUGUCCUAAUCUCCUUCGGCUUGGAUGUAGCUCUUGGGAAAGGGCUGCUAUGUCUUAAUGUACUCAGCUGCUCAUCCAAGACGAUAAAGCCAUUGAUGCUUCCAGUGGCAGCUGUCUUCAAACCCUUGGCAUGUUUAAAAACAAACUCAGAAAACUAGGCUCUGGGGACCAGAGAACCAAGUGCAAUUUAUUGUAUGAUGGAAAACAUUUUAGGAAGCCCAAGAAGAAAAGGAAGUCCUUUCAGCAUCUUCCUUAAGAUCCACAAAUGGUCAUCCUUGUAUUUUUCCAAUCGCUAAGGCACUUUUUUUUCUCCUCUGAAAGUCAUAAAGGAUUUGGUGGUUCUCAAGAAAUGAUGCAAAAGUAUCCUUAAGUAACCUGAGGCUGUGUGUACUGCUUUCUCUAUGUUUGAUGAGUAGUGACAUUCUACAAUAAAACAAUGCAUGGAGCAAUCA